GCUGCCUCCUGCCUCUUAAUUCAAAACGCCAAGAACACAACGCAGAUCAGCAUAGAAGUAACACUGCUGGCUAGACAUGCACUGACCCAUUCAGACCCCCGUCACUCUUCAAAUGACCCCGUUUCCUCCUGCAGAGCCGUUGUCGAAUGUGACCAUCAGUGCCAAGGUAUCUGAGAUGAUAGAGUAGAACAGCACUGUGGUUCUCACCUGCUCUGCCAAGGGCUAAUUCUUCAGAUUCUACUGGACCAACAAUACCACACCCAUCAUGACAGAUGACAAAUGACUCACUAUCAAAGAGGAUUUUCUACGUCCAAUAUGCUGACUAUUAGUGGUAUUCAGACGUGUUUGGUCCCAUUUACUGCACAGCCUCCAACCAGCUGGAGGUGAAGAAGAGCGCCCCCCUCAACCUCACUGUCAUCUGAGGGUGGAGCAAAUGACAGAGGCCAUGGACCACAACUCAUCCCCCUCGUGCCAGACUAAAACAUUCUUAUUCCUCAGCUAUUCACUAUAUAGGGGUGUUGCAACCAAGAACCUUUCUAGCCAGCCUUCAGGCAGUCGUCCCAUGCGGCCCCAUACCAAGGGUCAGCGCACACAUGGAGGUCGGAGAGGCAGUCACUCCUGAAAAAGAGGAGCUCUGUUGAAUUCUGUUGGUACUUUUGCUAAUUGUUUUGAAUAAAAACGCCCAUUAUGUGUUGAUUAUUAUUCAGUGUAAUUUGGAAUGAACACGUGUUUCAGUAGUUAUUUUCUUGAAACUUUGCAAUAAACUCCU